CCUACGGGUGGCAGCAGUGAGGAAUAUUGGUCAAUGGGCGCGAGCCUGAACCAGCCAAGUAGCGUGAAGGAUGACUGCCCUACGGGUUAUAACCUUCUUUUAUAAAGGAAUAAAGUGAGGCAUGUGUGCCUUUUUGUAUGUACUUUAUGAAUAAGGAUCGGCGAACUCCGUGCCAGCAGCCGCGGUAAUACGGAGGAUCCGAGCGUUAUCCGGAUUUAUUGGGGUUAAAGGGAGCGUAGAUGGGUUGUUAAGUCAGAUGUGAAAGUUUACGGCUCAACCGUAAAAUUGCAAUUGAUACUGGCAGUCUUGAGUACGGGUGAGGUAGGCGGAAUUCGUGGUGUAGCGGUAAAAUGCUUAGAUAUCACGAAGAACUCCGAUUGCGAAGGCAGCUUACUAAACUGCCACUGACACUGAUGCUCGAAAGUGUGGGUAUCAAACAGGAUUAGAUACCCGUGUAGUC
rnacentral:rRNA from 1 species